rnacentral:rRNA from 1 species
UUGUGAGGUUAAGCGACUAAGCGUACACGGUGGAUGCCCUGGCAGUCAGAGGCGAUGAAGGACGUGCUAAUCUGCGAUAAGCGUCGGUGAGGUGAUAUGAACCGUUAUAACCGGCGAUUUCCGAAUGGGGAAACCCAGUGUGUUUCGACACACUAUCAUUAACUGAAUCCAUAGGUUAAUGAGGCGAACCGGGGGAACUGAAACAUCUAAGUACCCCGAGGAAAAGAAAUCAACCGAGAUUCCCCCAGUAGCGGCGAGCGAACGGGGAGGAGCCCAGAGCCUGAAUCAGUGUGUGUGUUAGUGGAAGCGUCUGGAAAGGCGCGCGAUACAGGGUGACAGCCCCGUACACAAAAAUGCACAUAUUGUGAGCUCGAUGAGUAGGGCGGGACACGUGGUAUCCUGUCUGAAUAUGGGGGGACCAUCCUCCAAGGCUAAAUACUCCUGACUGACCGAUAGUGAACCAGUACCGUGAGGGAAAGGCGAAAAGAACCCCGGCGAGGGGAGUGAAAAAGAACCUGAAACCGUGUACGUACAAGCAGUGGGAGCCUCUUUAUGGGGUGACUGCGUACCUUUUGUAUAAUGGGUCAGCGACUUAUAUUCUGUAGCAAGGUUAACCGAAUAGGGGAGCCGAAGGGAAACCGAGUCUUAACUGGGCGUUAAGUUGCAGGGUAUAGACCCGAAACCCGGUGAUCUAGCCAUGGGCAGGUUGAAGGUUGGGUAACACUAACUGGAGGACCGAACCGACUAAUGUUGAAAAAUUAGCGGAUGACUUGUGGCUGGGGGUGAAAGGCCAAUCAAACCGGGAGAUAGCUGGUUCUCCCCGAAAGCUAUUUAGGUAGCGCCUCGUGAAUUCAUCUCCGGGGGUAGAGCACUGUUUCGGCAAGGGGGUCAUCCCGACUUACCAACCCGAUGCAAACUGCGAAUACCGGAGAAUGUUAUCACGGGAGACACACGGCGGGUGCUAACGUCCGUCGUGAAGAGGGAAACAACCCAGACCGCCAGCUAAGGUCCCAAAGUCAUGGUUAAGUGGGAAACGAUGUGGGAAGGCCCAGACAGCCAGGAUGUUGGCUUAGAAGCAGCCAUCAUUUAAAGAAAGCGUAAUAGCUCACUGGUCGAGUCGGCCUGCGCGGAAGAUGUAACGGGGCUAAACCAUGCACCGAAGCUGCGGCAGCGACACUAUGUGUUGUUGGGUAGGGGAGCGUUCUGUAAGCCUGUGAAGGUGGCCUGUGAGGGUUGCUGGAGGUAUCAGAAGUGCGAAUGCUGACAUAAGUAACGAUAAAGCGGGUGAAAAGCCCGCUCGCCGGAAGACCAAGGGUUCCUGUCCAACGUUAAUCGGGGCAGGGUGAGUCGACCCCUAAGGCGAGGCCGAAAGGCGUAGUCGAUGGGAAACAGGUUAAUAUUCCUGUACUUGGUGUUACUGCGAAGGGGGGACGGAGAAGGCUAUGUUGGCCGGGCGACGGUUGUCCCGGUUUAAGCGUGUAGGCUGGUUUUCCAGGCAAAUCCGGAAAACCAAGGCUGAGGCGUGAUGACGAGGCACUACGGUGCUGAAGCGACAAAUGCCCUGCUUCCAGGAAAAGCCUCUAAGCAUCAGGUAACAUCAAAUCGUACCCCAAACCGACACAGGUGGUCAGGUAGAGAAUACCAAGGCGCUUGAGAGAACUCGGGUGAAGGAACUAGGCAAAAUGGUGCCGUAACUUCGGGAGAAGGCACGCUGAUAUGUAGGUGAAGCGACUUGCUCGUGGAGCUGAAAUCAGUCGAAGAUACCAGCUGGCUGCAACUGUUUAUUAAAAACACAGCACUGUGCAAACACGAAAGUGGACGUAUACGGUGUGACGCCUGCCCGGUGCCGGAAGGUUAAUUGAUGGGGUUAGCGGUAACGCGAAGCUCUUGAUCGAAGCCCCGGUAAACGGCGGCCGUAACUAUAACGGUCCUAAGGUAGCGAAAUUCCUUGUCGGGUAAGUUCCGACCUGCACGAAUGGCGUAAUGAUGGCCAGGCUGUCUCCACCCGAGACUCAGUGAAAUUGAACUCGCUGUGAAGAUGCAGUGUACCCGCGGCAAGACGGAAAGACCCCGUGAACCUUUACUAUAGCUUGACACUGAACAUUGAGCCUUGAUGUGUAGGAUAGGUGGGAGGCUUUGAAGUGUGGACGCCAGUCUGCAUGGAGCCGACCUUGAAAUACCACCCUUUAAUGUUUGAUGUUCUAACGUUGGCCCGUAAUCCGGGUUGCGGACAGUGUCUGGUGGGUAGUUUGACUGGGGCGGUCUCCUCCUAAAGAGUAACGGAGGAGCACGAAGGUUGGCUAAUCCUGGUCGGACAUCAGGAGGUUAGUGCAAUGGCAUAAGCCAGCUUGACUGCGAGCGUGACGGCGCGAGCAGGUGCGAAAGCAGGUCAUAGUGAUCCGGUGGUUCUGAAUGGAAGGGCCAUCGCUCAACGGAUAAAAGGUACUCCGGGGAUAACAGGCUGAUACCGCCCAAGAGUUCAUAUCGACGGCGGUGUUUGGCACCUCGAUGUCGGCUCAUCACAUCCUGGGGCUGAAGUAGGUCCCAAGGGUAUGGCUGUUCGCCAUUUAAAGUGGUACGCGAGCUGGGUUUAGAACGUCGUGAGACAGUUCGGUCCCUAUCUGCCGUGGGCGCUGGAGAACUGAGGGGGGCUGCUCCUAGUACGAGAGGACCGGAGUGGACGCAUCACUGGUGUUCGGGUUGUCAUGCCAAUGGCACUGCCCGGUAGCUAAAUGCGGAAGAGAUAAGUGCUGAAAGCAUCUAAGCACGAAA